rnacentral:lncRNA from 13 species
AUGAAUGGAGUGAAAAUGAAGCAGUUAACUACCGAGAUGAGCUACUUGACAGGAUCAGGUUGUAAAGACCGUUGUCAGGUUGCUUGUGCGUGUCCACCUUACCCGUUGUCUUUCUGGCCGUUGUCAGGUUGCUUGUGCGUGUCCACCUUACCCGUCGCCGUUCUGGCCGUUGUCAGUUUGCUUGUGCGUGUCCACCUUACCCGUCGCCGUUCUGGCCGUUGUCAGUUUGCUUGUGCGUGUCCACCUUACCCGUUGCCGUUCUGGCCGUUGUCAGUUUGCUUGUGCGUGUCCACCUUACCCGUUGCCGUUCUGGCCGUUGUCAGUUUGCUUGUGCGUGUCCACCUUACCCGUUGCCGUUCUGGCCGUUGUCAGUUUGCUUGUGCGUGUCCACCUUACCCGUCGCCGUUCUGGCCGUUGUCAGUUUGCUUGUGCGUGUCCACCUUACCCGUCGCCGUUCUGGCCGUUGUCAGUUUGCUUGUGCGUGUCCACCUUACCCGUCGCCGUUCUGGCCGUUGUCAGUUUGCUUGUGCGUGUCCACCUUGCCCAUUGCCGUUCUGGCCGUUGUCAGUUUGCUUGGCCAGAAAAUGAAUGUUCGCAAGUCUAAGCCAAUCACUGUGUUUCCCUUCCCCUGAUCAGUGAUUGGUUGAUGUGUGGGCCUGUAACACAAUCCCCGGAAAGGAGACCUAAAAGUAAUUCUUCAGACAGAACUCAGGAAAGGUUUAUCUCUGGAUAGAAGGAGACAAGCAAGGAGACACCUCCCUUCCUGACUUUGACUACAAUUGUGUGAAAACGUAUGUUGUAUCCAUGCUGUGAUCAUGAAAGGACAAGCCAGAGGAUGAACCCUAACAAAGUGAGGAUGGAAGAGCAGAAAUAGGGGAAGCUGUUGGGUCUUGUUGGCAUUAUUGCACUGCUGAAGCACAAACCUGGGACCUUCUUUUCUGUCUCUGUGUCUUUUGCUGUUAUUGUUAUAUAAGAUAACACACCUUUUUUGUUUAAGCCACUUUCCAUUAUUCUGUUACAUACAGUUAAAAGAUUCUAACAGAUACAGAAGUUUUCCCAAAGUAGUGAAGCUUAGUUUGUGCUUUAAAGGGCCAGAGAAAUUCAUCUUUGGAAGUUGAUGGGUGGAAGAGUGGGAGCAGGGCACUCCACAGGGGGAAGGGCUUGUGCAAAAGCUUGGAAACAUGGAGCAAUAUGGAAGGUUUGAGAUAGGGCAAGCGUUUUUGUGCUGGAUUGUUGUUGGGGUAAUUCAGGUUUCUCACAUGGGUAGGAUGCUGCUUGCAUACAGUAGAUACCCAAUCACUAUCUGUUGCCUGCUUGCAUUUACAUUUUCUUUAAUUGUAUUAAAUGGAGUCUGAAAAAUAUCCUUGAGUGUCCAUGAUAUUACAGGGGUUUUAUAGGCAUAAGUAGCAGAGUCGGUGUGAAUAUCCACUAAAAUUUCAAUUCCCUUCUAAAGUGCUAAAAAUUAAAACAGUUCUCAGAGUCUGUCUGUUAAGAGGUUUGCUAUGGAAUACAUGUCUGUGUCCCUAACCCCCAGUGUGAUAUUUGAAGAUGGGGCAUUUGAGAGAUAAUAAGGUCAUGAAGUUGGACUCCCCAUGAGGAGAUUGGUACCCUUGUAAGGAAGGACAUGUGGCUGGGCGUGGUAGCUCACACCUGUAAUUCUAGAACUUUGGGAGGCUGAGGUGGGAGGAUUUCUUGAGGCCAGGAGUUUGAAACCAGCCUGAGCAACAUAGCAAGACCAUAUCUCUAUAAAAAAGUGUAAAAAAACUAUCUGGGCAUGGUGACAUGCAUCCAUAGUCCCAACUACUAAGGCGGCUUUGGUGGGAGGAUCACUUGAACCCAGGUGGUGAAAGUUGUAAUAUGGUGUAAUUGUGACACUGCAUGCCAGCCUGGGUGACAGAGACCCCCGUCUCUAAAAAUUUUUUUUAAAAAGAGAGAGAUAAAGAGAGAUUUUAAACAUAAGACAGUUUGCUAUUUCUAUCCCCAACUCUCUCUCUCCUGCAAUGUGAGAAAAUCAGGAUGAGGGUCCUUACUAGAACCUGACCCUGCCAGCACCCUGAUCUCAGACUUCUAGCCUCCAGAACUGUGAGAAAUUAAUGUUUUUUUCUUUAAGCCAUCAAGUCUAUGAUAUUCUUGUUAUAGCAGCAUGAACUAAGACAAAGGUUAUGAUUUAUUUUUGAACAAGUGCAUAUAAUACACAGGACUUUGAUUUGAAAAGCGCGUGAGUGAGAUAAGGUUACAAUUUUAUUCUUCUUUCUGUGGAUAUCCAGUUUCCUAACACCAUUUAUUGAAGACAUUAUCCAUGUCCCUUUUUGUGCUCUUGACACCUUUGUCAAAAUAAAUCAGCUGUAAAUGUGUAGGCUUAUUUCUGG